AAGAAAGGAAAAGAAUUAGUGAACAGAUUAAAGCUGAUCGAAGGGAAGCUAAUACAAGGGAAGUGAAAGAAUCGCAUGCAAGACACUUUGAUUCUGACGGUGGUAUGAAGAGGUUUGAUGACAUAGGAAUAAAUCUGAAUAAGGGAGGAGGAUGAGGAUAGAAUACCUCUUAACAUCCAGACCAGAUGUUAAUCAGGGCUUAUGAGAGGAUUUUUGCACAAAAAAAAUACAGAUAAUGAAGAAAUUGGUAAAAUGUUCAGUCAAGACCAUGGGAGAACCUGAUGGAAAAUUUUUUUUUAAUUUUGUAAAUUGCCAAAGAAGGGAAGACUGUUGUGUUUUUUAUUUGUUGUUUAUUUUUUUAUCGAAGAAAUAACUUUUUUUAAUUGAUGAAAAUGAUCUCCUAUGAAAAACUUUAAUAUUGUACAGUGUUGAUUAACUUUGUUUUAAUUGUAUACCACACAUUUCUUCAGACCUGAUAGAAAUUGGAAUAUUCACCCUUAUGGCUGUGAACUUUUAUAAAAUUGAGUGUGAGUGACUCUUUACUAGGAAUAUAGUCACUCGCUGGUAUUUAGUGCUAUUAAUUCCAUCAUUUCUAUUAUUGUAGUUUUUUAAAACAAAAAAAAAUGCUAUUAAAUCCCCAUUGCCCUGAGAGACUGGUCAGAGGUUUUAGAGGUUUUAGCCUAGAAUUUAAACUGGCAAGUUUGACAGGGAGAAACUUGAAUGUUACACCGGCUUGACUAUUAUCUAUAAGAUACGGAAAAGAAUUGUGAUUGCUUAUUUUGAGUGAUGUCAAACUUUUGAUGAAGGUAACUGUUUAAAUCCUCAAAGGCAGAGCAGAAACCGGAAAGCCAGAUUUAAUAAUAAAGGCGAUUUUAUAUGUGAUAAAAAUGUAAGAAUAUGUGACAAAACUGUACUCUUCAAACAUGUAAAAAGCAGUUGGUUUCCAUUUGGACUUAGACUCCGUUCACAUGGAAAGUCUAUUUUCUAAAAAAUCUAUUUUCUAUUCGCGGUAUCUUGUAAUCACGGUCCCUGUGCCCUGAAUAUCCCGAGAAUUAAUUACAGCUUUGGAAGUAACUGGCUCGCGCCGCCAGUAUUUACGCCGCGGGUUAUUCAGGGCACAGACCGUGAUCAUAAGAUA